UGAGGAAUAUUGGUCAAUGGGCGAGAGCCUGAACCAGCCAAGUCGCGUGAAGGAAGAAGGUUCUAUGGAUUGUAAACUUCUUUUGCAGGGGAAUAAAGGACGGUACGUGUACUGUUUUGUAUGUACCUUGCGAAUAAGGAUCGGCUAACUCCGUGCCAGCAGCCGCGGUAAUACGGAGGAUCCGAGCGUUAUCCGGAUUUAUUGGGUUUAAAGGGUGCGUAGGUGGUUUGAUAAGUCAGCGGUGAAAGUUUGCAGCUUAACUGUAAAAAUGCCGUUGAAACUGUCGGACUUGAGUGUAAAUGAGGUAGGCGGAAUGCGUGGUGUAGCGGUGAAAUGCAUAGAUAUCACGCAGAACUCCGAUUGCGAAGGCAGCUUACUGGGAUGCAACUGACACUGAUGCACGAAAGCGUGGGUAUCAAACA
rnacentral:rRNA from 1 species